GAAACCCUUUUGCAAGCCUCCUCUCAGGGAUUCUUUCGUUAAGAUUUUCUCUUCCUUUUUUUUCAGAUUUACAAAUCUGCACCCAAUGUGUACUUCCUGAAGGCGCAAUUUAAGUUUAAAUGCAUUGCUUUUUAAGCAUUUUUGUUUCCUGGUAUGUCUUUAGGUCUAUUUGCAGGGCACCAGGAUUCCUCCCAGACAAACGUGCAUAUGGACAUACACAAUAUUUUGUGCGACAUGCCUGAGUUUGGUAGUUAUCUUAUAAAUCCAAAUACUUCCUGGAACCUGCGAACCUUAGGUCAAAACCAGCUACUUUAAGCAACUUUAAAAAAUCACUAAAAAAGCCGUGGAAAAAUGAACAUUUUGGUUUGUAAAUAAAAGUAAUACCAAAACCUAAAAUUUCUAGAUACAAACAAUGCCUUUUCCAUAAAAGCUAUAGUUUAGGCGUUGAGAAAAAUCUACAUAAGCAUCUCAUCAGUGGUUUUCUUAAAUGAACUUCAUAAGGUAGCUCUUUUUGAGACUGAUGUAUCUAUUGAUCCCCAAAACAUCUGUUUCUUCACUUUGGCUAUCUUACAGAAUAUUUAAUCUUCAAAACUGGAUUAUUAUUUGAUUCUUUUUUUCUUUUUGGAACAUACAUGACAAGGAGAACUAAGUUAUAUCUGGUUUUAACUAACUUCCACAUGACUCCUUCUAGUUUCCUUUCUAUCUCUAGAAAAACUGGCUCUAAACCAAUGGCUGACACAAGUUAGUUAAAAAUAGAUAUACAUGGCAAAUGUUUGGAAAUUGACUUUUUAUAUCCAUUCUGAAUUAUAAUUGUGAACUUGGAAUCUUGCUUAUGAUUAAGAUAUUAAAGACUGAAUAACUUGGGGGAAAAGAUCAUGUGACUGGCAUUUUUUUGCAAAGAAAAUUCUAGAGUGAAUGUUUUACACAAGCAGCCAAUAAGUUUCAGAUGGUUUAUAAGUAGCAGGAGAUCCAAAGCUGAAAUGGAAUUUUCUGUGACAGCCUACAAAUAACAGUUAACAUAUGCCUGUGUUACAGACAAAAACAGGAGUCACGUAAAGUCAAGCAGGGAGUAAGAAGAGCUGUAAGCCCCAGUGCAGUGGUAGGAACCCGGUGGGGACCAGGGCUCCCUGCUGGCCGGGUGGCCUGCCUCAAUGAGAGCAAUGGCCGUCCCCCGUGCAGUGAUGACAACCAUGCCUACCCCGUCUCCCUCACGGGCUCACGAGGCUGGAGGGGACGUGCACGAAGCAGUUUUUGAAACACGAUGGCCGUGGUGCUGGAGGCAUUAGCAGUGAUGGACACGCGGCUCUGCACAGCGACCACAGUCACAGGCUCUACCUGACUCCACUGCAGGGACGAGACGGGGCCAACAGCUUCCUGCACUAACCUGCGGGACCCCUUGGUGGAGUGUAGACGCCAGCAGCUCUGCUACCAGGCAGGUUUGCCUGUGUGCUUUUCUUUUCCCUCUUUCUGUUUUAGGCGGGGUCAUUGGAAAGGUCAUCCUGAAAGGUCACCGACAGGCACGAACCAGAGCCGUAGAUUAAAACAGAAAUCCUGUGCGGUUGUGUGUGUGUGUGUGUGUGUGUGUGUGUGUUUGGGGUUCCUCCCAACCCUUCACAAAGUUAAGUGAAGUUGACUGGAAUAGCGUAAGGACAGCAUGACCGGUGUCUGGCAAAUUGCAUGACCCGCAGAAGGCAGGCUGUCCGCGCUUGGGGGGAAGCAAGGACACUAUUCCUUUAGGUGGUUCAGGGGUGAUUUGUGAAAUGAGGUCACUAACGCCUUCUCUGAAGGGCUGGUGGCCUGCCAGGGGGAUGGCACGAGGUCCGGAGGCUGAAGGCGCGGGCCCGCAGUGUUCUGGGCGCCGGGGCUGAGCUGGGCUGCAGUGGGGUCACACGCACCAACAGAGAUUCACCAGGUCAGCGUCUCCGACGUGCCCACCACCCGAGGGCCCAUCAGACAACACUCGCCCCUGCCUCUUGUAAACGGGACCGGUGUUCUCAGCUGGUUGCUUUACUUACUUUUCACCACUUUCUUUCUGUUGUAAACACUGAAUAUGCUUGCACUAGAACCAAGAUUACUGGUCUGUAUCAUAGUCUGUACUGUAUUUUGGUGACACAGUGUACUUGUAUCCUUCUACAGUCUCAUCUGCUCUGCGACAGAAACUAUUUCACUCAUCACCAUAUCCUCGCAGCAUCUAGUAGCGCCUUCCGGCAAACGAGUCAGAAAUUCCUGUUUGUCAAAAAAAAAAAAAAAAAAAAAAAAAGAAA